AAUGAACGUUGGCGGCGUGGAUUAGGCAUGCAAGUCGAGCGAGAACCCCGCAAGGGGGGACAGCGGCGAAAGGGACAGUAAUGUGUAGAUUAUCUGCCCUCAGGUCCGGGAUAGCUGCGGGAAACUGCAGGUAAUACCGGAUAACAUCUCCGGAUCAAAGGUGUGAUUCCGCCUGAGGAUGAGUCUGCAUCCUAUUAGCUAGUUGGUGGGGUAAUGGCCUACCAAGGCAUUGAUGGGUAGCAGGUGUGAGAGCACGACCUGCGUCAUUGGGACUGAGACACUGCUCAGACACCUACGGGUGGCUGCAGUCGAGAAUCUUCGGCAAUGGGCGCAAGCCUGACCGAGCGACGCCGCGUGUGGGAUGAAGGCCUUCGGGUUGUAAACCACUGUCAGAGGGGAUGAAAUGCAGGUGGGUGCUCCCAUCUGUUUGACAUAGCCUCAGAGGAAGGACGGGCUAAGUUCGUG
rnacentral:rRNA from 1 species